ACAAAGGUUUUUUUUAUAACCACCAAAUUAUCAAGUUAUCAAGUUAU
rfam:Absidia repens strain NRRL 1336 BCR42scaffold_19, whole genome shotgun sequence.